rnacentral:rRNA from 1 species
UACGUAGGUGGCAAGCGUUGUCCGGAUUUACUGGGUGUAAAGGGCGUGUAGGCGGGGAUGCAAGUCAGAUGUGAAAUUCAGAAGCUCAACUUCGGCGCUGCAUCUGAAACUGUAUCUCUUGAGUGCUGGAGAGGAAAGCGGAAUUCCUAGUGUAGCGGUGAAAUGCGUAGAUAUUAGGAGGAACACCAGUGGCGAAGGCGGCCUGCUGGGCUUUAACUGACGCUGAGGCUCGAAAGCAUGGGGAGCAAACAGGA